CCCAGACUCCUACGGGAGGCAGCAGUGAGGAAUAUUGGUCAAUGGGCGGGAGCCUGAACCAGCCAAGCCGCGUGAAGGAAGAAGGCGCCAAGCGUCGUAAACUUCUUUUGUCGGGGAACAAAGGGCGCCACGUGUGGCGUUGUGAGUGUACCCGAAGAAAAAGCAUCGGCUAACUCCGUGCCAGCAGCCGCGGUAAUACGGAGGAUGCGAGCGUUAUCCGGAUUUAUUGGGUUUAAAGGGUGCGUAGGCGGACGCUUAAGUCAGCGGUAAAAUUGCGGGGCUCAACCUCGCCGAGCCGUUGAAACUGGGUGCCUUGAGUGGGCGAGAAGUACGCGGAAUGCGUGGUGUAGCGGUGAAAUGCAUAGAUAUCACGCAGAACUCCGAUUGCGAAGGCAGCAUACCGGCGCUCAACUGACGCUCAUGCACGAAAGUGUGGGUAUCGAACAGGAUUAGAUACCCCAGUAUU
rnacentral:rRNA from 1 species